AACGAACGCUGGCGGCAUGCCUAACACAUGCAAGUCGAACGAGACCUUCGGGUCUAGUGGCGCGCGGGUGCGUAACGCGUGGGAACCUGCCUUUAGGUUCGGAAUAACUCAGAGAAAUUUGAGCUAAUACCGGAUAAUGUCUUCGGACCAAAGAUUUAUCGCCUUUAGAUGGGCCCGCGUUGGAUUAGCUAGUUGGUGGGGUAAAGCCUACCAAGGCGACGAUCCAUAGCUGGUCUGAGAGGAUGAUCAGCCACACUGGGACUGAGACACGGCCCAGACUCCUACGGGAGGCAGCAGUGGGAAUAUUGGACAAUGGGCGAAAGCCUGAUCCAGCAAUGCCGCGUGAGUGAUGAAGGCCUUAGGGUUGUAAAGCUCUUUACCCGAGAUGAUAAUGACAGUAUCGGGAGAAUAAGCUCCGGCUAACUCCGUGCCAGCAGCCGCGGUAAAGUGACUACU
rnacentral:rRNA from 1 species